rnacentral:rRNA from 1 species
GUGGGGAAUCUUCCACAAUGGACGAAAGUCUGAUGGAGCAACGCCGCGUGAGUGAAGAAGGGUUUCGGCUCGUAAAGCUCUGUUGUCGGGGACGAAUGUGCAGUAUUUGAAUAAAGUACUGUAAUGACGGUACCUGACGAGGAAGCCACGGCUAACUACGUGCCAGCAGCCGCGGUAAUACGUAGGUGGCAAGCGUUGUCCGGAAUUAUUGGGCGUAAAGGGAGCGCAGGCGGGAAGGUAAGUCGGUCUUAAAAGUGCGGGGCUCAACCCCGUGAUGGGAUCGAAACUAUCUUUCUUGAGUGCAGGAGAGGAAAGUGGAAUUCCUAGUGUAGCGGUGAAAUGCGUAGAUAUUAGGAGGAACACCAGUGGCGAAGGCGACUUUCUGGACUGUAACUGACGCUGAGGCUCGAAAGCCAGGGGAGCGAACGGGAUUAGAAACCCGUGUAGUCC